UUCCGUCCACCACUGCGCAGUGGCCGCUGCGCUCCUCGGCCACGCAGAACAGCUGGGAGUCCGCCAUCCACGCCGUCGCUCGGUCCAGCCGCUCUGCGCGAUGCAGCCCCCUGCCCACGGAGCGGCCUUUCCUCCCGCCCGGCUCCUCCACGCACGAACGGAACGCGUCGAGGGUCGAGAUUGGUGGGAAGGCGGCACCAGUGCGGCUGCGCCGUGCCGAAGCCCGCCCGGGAAGCCGAGCCUGGGGCGGCGUCGCCAGUUAGGGAUGCUUGAGGUCUGAGUGGGCAGGGAGGUGCCUUGGCUUCUCCGCAACCCUGCCACCCGCUGAUUUCGUGUCACUUGCGAUUGUGUUGUGUGGGCGGAACAACCUGUGUACCUUAUGCAGUGGCUCAGUGGACUUCUGGUCCAUGGGCUUGAUGCUGCUGUGACUUAAAUCAAUAUGUUAAUACAUUAAUGCUUUGUGAGGGUUUGCCUUUUCCAUUCAACCUCUAGUAGAGAUAGUUAUCCAGAGAGAGAGAGAGAGAGAGAGAGAGAGAGAGAGGACUUUAAAUAUAUAUGUAUAUAUACAUGUAUAUACAUGUAGAGAAAUAACUGAGGACAUGGAAGGAGACGUGACCCAUGAGUCCCCACGGCAAGCUGGGUGCGUGCGAAAAAGCCAGAACUGCAAGCAGUCCUGAGUGCUUUGGGCACUGAUCCAUGAAAUGUCCUCAGUAUAAUCAGAAUAAUGGGAACACAAGGAAAUGUCCUUGUGCUGCUUUUGCGGUUCAAGGACGAAGCACGGCAUGUUCUUAAGAAAACCCAUUGUUUAUUGUAUAAUCAGUAAAAGCAUAUCUGGCUGCUUUGGUAUUUCUGGAAUGUUAAGAAAACAAGUCUUAAGAUGUAAACUUAGAUAAUGCUUAAAUAAAAGUCACCACAGCAGGACGAGACGGCGCUGUUAUUGCCUGAGAGAGCAGCAGCCCUCUACUGCUGUGUUUCUGCACAAUUCAUCUCGUGUGAUGAGCUUACUUUCAGCCCUGACAUAAGAAACUACAACAUUUGGCACCCGAACAGGGACCUGAAGUCCGACGACGAUUGCAAGCCACCUGCCAUGUAACAUCGCAACAAGCUGCCGUGUUCUCCUUGAUGCUGCACGAGCUGCAAAACAAAAAGGGGGAAAUGUAGAGAAAUAACUGAGGACGUGGAAGGAGACGUGACCCAUGAGUCCCCCCGGCAAGCUGGGUGCGUGCGAAAAAGCCAGAACUGCAAGCAGUCCUGAGUGCUUUGGGCACUGAUCCAUGAAAUGUCCUCAGUAUAAUCAGAAUAAUGGGAACACAAGGAAAUGUCCUUGUGCUGCUUUUGCGGUUCAAGGACGAAGCACGGCAUGUUCUUAAGAAAGCCCAUUGUUUAUUGUAUAAUCAGUAAAAGCAUAUCUGGCUGCUUUGGUGUUUCUGGAAUGUUAAGAAAACAAGUCUUAAGAUGUAAACUUAGAUAAUGCUUAAAUAAAAGUCACCACAGCAGGA